rnacentral:rRNA from 1 species
UAGGGAAUCUUUGGCAAAGGACGGAAGUCUGACCGAGCAACGCCGCGUGAGUGAAGAAGGUUCUUGGAUCGUAAAGCCCUGUUGUGAGAGAAGAACGUUGGUAGGAGCGGAAAAUCUACCAAGUGACGGGAACUAACAAGAAAAGGACGGCUAACUACGUGCCAGCAUGCGCGGUAAUACGUAGGUCCCGAGUGUUGUCCGGAUUUAUUGGGCGUAAAGCGAGCGCAGGCGGUUCUUUAAGUCUGAAGUUAAAGGCAGUGGCUUAACCAUUGUACGCUUUGGACACUGGGGGACUUGAGUUCAGAAGGGGAGAGUGAAAUUCCAUGUGUGACGGUGAAGUGCGUAGAUAUAUGGAGGAACACCGGUGGCGAGAGGGGCUCUCUGGUCUGUAUCUGACGCGGAGGCUCGAAAGCGUGGGGAGAAAACAGG